ensembl:lncRNA
UUUCUGUUGAAAUUUCCGUUAAGAAACUGUAAUCAUCAUUUUGCUUUUGUUAUUCACAGCUUAAACUGUACUCUACGUAUUUUGUAUAUUUUAUACUAGGAACUGAAAAUAAUUUACAAAUGCAACAUUACUUUAUUGGUUCUUUUUAUAUCUCAGUAAACCAAGAAGCAAAUGCUUGCAACUGGAGUUGACAGAGAAACUAAAGCCGAAGAUUGGUGCACAACUGUUUAGGGAUAUCUGGGGAAUAAUUAAUAUGGAAGGGAUCAUGUGUAGAGAAUCUAAAGAGACUAUUUUAUCUUUCUACAAAUGUCUGUGGUUUUGUUCCAAAAUAUGUUAAUAUGAUAAAUUAGAAAGGAUAUGUAUUUCCUUUAUCUAAUGCAUUGUUAUUCUUAGCAUAUUCUUACCGUAAGUGUUGUAUGAAGAGAAGGGAUGGAAGUUUCUGCCCUGAGGACAAUAAUGUUUUAUCUGGCUUUGUUUAGAAUUGCCAAGCACAUGGUUAUACUAAAGAGUAGACCAACUUUUCAUUGAUUUUAUUAUUGUUUUAAAAGUCUUCACAUUUGUAAAGAUUAUUUGAUUUUCUUAUUGCUUGCACCCAGAGAGAGUGCCCCUGCCCCCACCCCACUGUCCUUGGCCCAUCACUGAUGAGGCUAACAUUUCUCGAGGCACAGAAUAAGGUUGUAAGAAAAGUGAUAUUUUUUCUGUUUCAGAGAUAACAACACUGAGGUAGAGUAGUAGGUUUUUUUUUUUUUUUUACAAUAUCUCAUAGUUGUUAAGUGGUGAAAGCAAGCAUUUUGAUUCCAGAUUCCUCUCCUAAGUGUUAUAAUCUACCAUCUACAGAAACACACAGUGAAUUCUGACUGACUUGUAGCUAUUUAACCAUGUUCAGCUAGUGUUAGUCUUAUUUCCUGUUUCCCAGCUGAAUUGAUAUUGUUUUAUAAUUGUUUCAAGUGUCAACGUGGAAGCAAAAUACAAAUCUUAAUAAAAUUAACAGAAAAUACAAGUCAACCUCACGUAAAGAAAAAUAAUCCAUUGGCUUGUCUAUCACAAAAAGGAGUAAAUUCCCAUCAGGCACAGCUGAAUCCAGGGGAUUGUCAGAGCCCAGGCCAUCUUCAUCUCUGGAUCACCAAGACUGUACCAAGUACAAUUAUAUCCUGUCUUUAGUGUUCAGUCAUGGGGAAAAGAGAAAGAUUUUUUUUUUCCAGUAAAUUCUAAGGGUCCUGGGCCCUAACUUUCACCAUUCUAAAAGUGUGGCUUUGGGGUCUAGAAGAUACAGAUGAAUUGUCUUAAGUCCUAAUCUUGCCUAGUAGUUAGAAGUAGAUCGCCUAAGUCCAAAUACUAGCUGAUACCUUCAAUUUGUAACCUUAGGCAAGUUACUUAAUUUCUGUCUUUGUUUUAUCAUUUGUAAAUAUAGGACAGAAUCUAGUAAUACUUACAAUGAGGAUUAAAUGGGUUAAAUCAUUAAAAUUUUAGGAGUAGUGUCCAGAGCUUAAUUGAUUAUUCUUGUUUACAUUCAAGAUGUUUACCAUCCAGUUAGGAUUCUUUUUUAACGUGAAAAAUUGGACUAAACAGCUUCAGUAUAGUAUCCAACUCAAUAAUUGUAUGACUUUUUUUUACAGAUAUUAGAGUUAAAAAAAAUUAGACUUAGAAAUGACCUAAAUAAUUAACUGAAGCUGAAAAUAUGCUACCAAAUGUUUCCAUAAGGCUCUUCUCUGUUCCAGGAGUUCCUUUCUCAUCCCUGAGAACUGUAUUUAGUGUACUUCCUCUCUUGCUGUGAGGGCACGCUGCACUCAGUGGGAAAGGUGCUUGCCCAGCUGGCUUGUUCAGUAAAUGAAGAUGGAACCUGAUUGCAAAAAUCCCCAGCCAGGGCCACAGCUUUGUCAUUCAGGAGAUUUGUGGCUUUGAAAGGCGGUCUUGAAAGGGAUGCCCUGAUGGGCUUGCACAGUCCUUAUCCAGUCAGCACAACUCCAUCAGCGCUGCAUCUCCUGUGAGCUGGAUGGGGAAAGACAGCAGAAGACACAACAGCAUAAUAGUGCAACACACUGUGAGGAGACACGAGCUGAGACAGAGACACUAUGUUGGUGGGAAAGAAAUACGAGGGCCUGUGUAGCAGGAGAAUCUCAAAGAAUGGUGUGACAUCAGUGCAGUAUGGGUUGGGUUUGUUGAAUGAAUUAUUUCCCACUUAGGGCGUGUCUUCUCUAUUUGGAGGAUUGCCCCUGCCCCUGUAGCAGCCAAGAAAGGGCCUUGUUAUUCUAGACAUGGUGGGGAGGGGCUCUAUAAAUCUGAGGUAGCUCCUAGUUGAUGAUUGUGAUUCCAUUACCUGGUAUCUGAAACCCUGGGAUUUCUUUGGAAGGAAUGAUGCUGAAGCUGAAUCUCCAGUACUUUGGCCACCUCAUGCGAAGAGUUGACUCAUUGGAAAAGACUUCGAUGCUGGGAGGGAUUAGGGGCAGGAGGAGAAGGGGACGACAGAGGAUGAGAUGGCUGGAUGGCAUCACUGACUCGAUGGACAUGAAUCUGAGUGAACUCCGGGAGUUGGUGAUGGACAGGAGGCCUGGCAUGCUGUGAUUCAUGGGGUCGCAAAGAGCCGGACACGACUGAGUGACUGAACUGAACUGAACUGAAUGACUAAGGUCUGCUAUGGGAGAAGUGAGGUGCAGGGGCUAUCUGGAAUAUUCCUCUUCUUCAAAAUGUGAGCUAUACCAUCUAUAUAUAUUAUCACCAGUCAAUUUGCAGAAUGUAAAAUAAGUAACAAGGUUAGCUAAGAGGGAUUUUAUUAGUUACCACUGAAAGUGACAAUUCUGACAUCACUUUUAUUCACCAUAGCCUUAUGUUCACAUUUUACAGUUAACUAGUGAGAGAUCCUGUUGGUGCAGAGUUUUAUCGCCUCCUCCCCACCCCAGGCUAGAACAUGGGGGAGAAGGAGAGACUUACCGUUGCUAUUCAGCAGUGGAAAGAUCCUAAAAGUAGGUCUUUGGGAAUCUUCUACCAUGAUGCUUCUCCCCUUCCUUUUCUGCCUUCAUUUUAGCCUAUUUGUUGUCUGUAGCAUCCCCCAGUCAUACCUGUGUUUCUUAGCAUCUUGUUUCAACUUAGGAUACAUUAGUCUAUAGCAGUGUUUCUCAAAGUAUGGCCCAGUGAUUAAGCACAUCAGAAAUAUCCCCUCUUAUUGAAAAUACAAGUUUUUGGCUAAUGGAAUCAGAAUCACUGAGAG